AUGUUGGCUGUCUGUCUGUGCUUUGUACUCGUCUUUCCUACUGUCUCCAUGGCUCACCAGCAUGAGGAGGGUGUGUUGUGGUUGGCCAGCACUGCUAGGCAGACAUCUUAUCCUUCUUAUUCUGCCUUUACCAUCAACAUCCACAUUAUGAUUUCUCAGGGAGGGCAUCAACUUGUUUCCCAGCUAUUGAUUGCUGUCACUGACAGAAGCUGUGGUCGGUAAUGGAUCUAGAGGCCAGCUUCCAGUGACGCAGUUUCUAGGAACACAGACAGUGCCAAUCUGAGCUCCAAAAAUCAAUCACACAGAAAUGCUUUACAGUUUGUAACUGUCAGAAAUAGUGGCAGCAGUGCAGCAUUACAGGACAUUGCCCUGUGUCUACAAAGUGUGUUUUCCAGAACAGCAGGAUCUUUCCCUUUGCAGUUUUUUGGGUACCUCACCUGUAAACAGAGAGAGCUGAGCUGCUUGAGAGUUCCUGGGAGGAAGGACUAGUGAUUGUCAUGCAUGUCUCUUUUCCCUCUGUCAUAGUUGCCUGGGAAGUUAUUUCUCUUCCUACCUGGCUUUUGGCGAAACUGGCCGUGUAACACUCAGUGGUGCCAGAGCUCAUCUCUUUCUGUUCCUCAGGGAAACUUACUGUGUCUCAGCCUUGUUCUUUCCCUUUUUUUGCCUGCAAAGACCGGUUCUAUAGUGAAGGUCACAAGCAUCACCAAUCUCAAAACGGGAAGGACAAAAUAUGUUACUCACUAUUCCAGAUGCUGUUGCUCUCAGAGUAUCAUUAAAUGUUGCUUAUCACACUGCAUUUAAGUGGAAUGGAAUCUCUUGAGAGAUUUAAAAUAACUUUAUCACCAAAUGAAGGCAAGUUUAGUGAGCCUGUCUGUGCAGUUAUAAUCUCUGGCAGUGCUGAGCAGUCUGUCCAGAGAGCUGUGUCUGUAUUGCUUAAGUUUCUCUUAAACUCUACUCCCAUUUGAUAGCAGGUAAAGAACGUGUUUUGCUGACAUUAUUCAUAUACAUUCUCUCAUCUUUUCCCAGUAAUUAAUAUGACAGAUAGAAGCACAGAGGGGUAGAGUGGCUCAUGCAGACUAAUUUACUCAGUGCUUGGGUUUCAAUGAAUAGCUCAUAAAAAUAUAUGUACUCUCUCUUCUAUCUCCUUACCGGAGAUGUUCAGUCCACCUUCCUCAGAUCCCUACCAUGACAGCUUACUUCUAUGGUUGUGAGAGUAUCAGCU
rnacentral:lncRNA from 1 species